rnacentral:rRNA from 1 species
CAAUAGCGUAUAUUAAUGCUGCUGCGGUUGAAACGCUCGUAGUUGGACCUUGGGGCGUGCAGCGGGGUCGGCCUUCGGGCUGUAUCCGGGUGCAUGUCCUUUUGCCGUGAUCUGCCUCCCAUUGCCUUCGGGCAGUGGAACCGGGGCGAUUUCGGCCGGUUACUUUGAAGAAAUUAGAGUGUUCAAAGCAGGCCAACGCCUUGAAUACAUUAGCAUGGAAUAACAGAAUAGGACUUUGGUCUUGUUGUGUUGGUUUCCGGGACUAGAGUAAUGAUUAAUAGGGAUAGUUGGGGGCAUUCAUAUUCGAUUGUCAGAGGUGAAAUUCUUGGAUUGAUCGAAGAUGAACUACUGCGAAAGCAUUUGCCAAGGAUGUUUUCAUUAAUCAAGAACGAAAGUUAGGGAUCGAAGACGAUCAGAUACCGU